rnacentral:rRNA from 1 species
UCCCAGUUCGGAUUGUAGUCUGCAACUCGACUACAUGAAGCCGGAAUCGCUAGUAAUCGCGGAUCAGAAUGCCGCGGUGAAUACGUUCCCGGGUCUUGUACACACCGCCCGUCACACCAUGGGAGCCGGAAAUGCCCGAAGUCAGUGACCCAACCGCGAGGAGGGAGCUGCCGAAGGCAGGUCUGGUAACUGGGGUGAAGUCGUAACAAGGUAUC